GGGCCCUUCUGUGCCAGGUCGCCUCGACUUUCUCAUUUAUUCAUUUCUUUUUUUUUUAAUCUUCUUUCCCUUUUCACCAGUGCUUGCUCCGAGGUUCUGAGGUCCCGUUUGAGUGACAUCACAGACGUUGAGGAGUGGAGUGGACCGCCUGGAUUUGAAUGAGCACUUGUGGAACGCAUUUAUGCGUCAGGCACGGGGCCUAAAUAUUUGCUUUUAUAAUGGGUUUCACUGAUACCUAGUUAUAAUAGAUAGCCUAUGAACUCAUUUGAGACUUCCGACAACUCUGAGACGUUUGAUUUCUAUUCCUUCUUUAUAAAUUGGGAUUAAGGAACUUGGUCCUCUCAACUGUUGAUGGUCUGGGGUUUGAAUUAAGUCUUUCUCCUUUGAAUUAAUCCGCACACCCUGUAUUAAUGUUCCGAACUGCUGCAGCUGCCUGGACACUGCAAGACCAGAGCAGAAAGCUAAGAGAAAAGAUGUCCAAGCUCCUGGAAGCACUUAGCCUUGAACUUGUGAGAACAACUUGGACACAUUUUGAUUGGAUCUCCAUUGUGAUACAUUUAAGAAUACUGAGGGCACUUCAUCCAAAAGGGCCAUAGCUGCUAUUAUGAGGAAGUCCUCA